GUGAUGAAGGCCCUAGGGUUGUAAAGCUCUUUCACCGGUGAAGAUAAUGACGGUAACCGGAGAAGAAGCCCCGGCUAACUUCAUGCCAUCACCCGCGGUAAUACAAAGGGGGCUAGCGUUGUUCGGAUUUACUGGGCGUAAAGCGCACGUAUGCGGACUUUUAAGUCAGGGGUGAAAUCCCAAAGCUCAACUCUGGAACUGCCUUUGAUACUGGAAGUCUUGACUAUGGUAGAGGUGAGUGGAAUUCCAAGUGUAGAGGUGAAAUUCAUAGAUAUUCGGAGGAACACCACUGGCGAAGGCGGCUCACUGGACCAUUACUGACCCUAAGGUGCGAAAGCGUGGGGAGCAAACCGGAUUAGAUACCCUGGUAGUCCACGCCGUAAACGAUGAAUGUUAGCCGUCGGGGUGUUUACACUUCGGUGGCGCAGCUAACGAAUUAAACAUUCCGCCGGGGGAGUACGGUCGCAAGAUUAAAACGCAAAGGAAUUGACGGGGGCCCGCACAACCGGUGGAGCAUGUGGUUUAAUUCAAAGCAACGCGGAAAACCUUACCAGCCCUUGACAUACCGGUCGCGGACACAGAGAUGUGUCUUUCAUUUCUGCUGGACCGGAUACAGGUGCUGCAUGGCU
rnacentral:rRNA from 1 species